rnacentral:rRNA from 1 species
UACACUCCUGCGAGAGGCAGCAGUGGGGAAUUUUGGACAAUGGGCGAAAGCCUGAUCCAGCAAUGCCGCGUGAGUGAAGAAGGCCUUCGGGUUGUAAAGCUCUUUUGUCAGGGAAGAAACGGUGAAAGCUAAUAUCUUUUGCUAAUGACGGUACCUGAAGAAUAAGCACCGGCUAACUACGUGCCAGCAGCCGCGGUAAUACGUAGGGUGCAAGCGUUAAUCGGAAUUACUGGGCGUAAAGCGUGCGCAGGCGGUUUUGUAAGUCUGAUGUGAAAUCCCCGGGCUCAACCUGGGAAUUGCAUUGGAGACUGCAAGGCUAGAAUCUGGCAGAGGGGGGUAGAAUUCCACGUGUAGCAGUGAAAUGCGUAGAUAUGUGGAGGAACACCGAUGGCGAAGGCAGCCCCCUGGGUCAAGAUUGACGCUCAUGCACGAAAGCGUGGGGAGCAAACAGGAUUAGAAACCCGAGUAGUCCCAUGAU